AUACGGAGGGUGCGAGCGUUAUCCGGAUUUAUUAGGUUUAAAGGGUGUGUAGGCGGUAUUUUAAGUCAGUGGUGAAAUCUUUCAGCUUAACUGAGAAACUGCCAUUGAUACUGGAAUACUUGAGUAUAGUUGAGGUAGGCGGAAUAUGUAAUGUAGCGGUGAAAUGCAUAGAUAUUACAUAGAACACCGAUUGCGAAGGCAGCUUACUAAACUAUUACUGACGCUGAUGCACGAAAGCGUGGGGAGCGAACAGGAUUAGAAACCCUAGUAGUCC
rnacentral:rRNA from 1 species